GAAUUUUUUGGAGAUCCAUGAGGAGACACAUAUCCUAGAAUCACUUCUUCUUGCUUCAGAUCUUCCUCUGAUGAAAAUUCGGUCUUGGCUAAUAGAUUUCUGAUUGAAUCUUAGGAACUAAUGGAGUUGGUAUUAUUUUCAUUGGUAGUCUUUUGUUUGUUUAGGUAAUUUUGUCAAGUUUCAUAGGUUUCUACCAUUGCAAUAUUGGAAUUUAAAUUACAUUUUAGUAGAUACAUUUGUGCCUCCUAAAAAGAAAAGUUCUUUUGAAGUGAUCUCUCCAUACCUAAUAUCCAGUAUAUAUUCACAAACUGCUAAUACUUUGGUUAAGUUUGAAAUCUGAGGUAGUAUAAAGAGUUUGGUAUUUUGAUCUUUGCUAUAUACUGGUGUGGCUGAUUUGGUUGUUUCUCAAAAUUUACCAUUUCACAAUUGAUAGUUAGCUCAAUUGUUCAUGCUAGUUUACGAAUUCUAAUUAAGAACAGUACUUGACUAUCCCUCUGUUUCUCUCUCUCAGUAGGACUUUGAAUAUCUCAUCUCUUAGAUAUCCGUCAUCUCGUAUAUCUAUUCUACGGCCGCGAGAGAAGCUUGAUGACUUCCAUAUUCCCAUCUCAUCAGCUUCUGGGUUUGGAUGCUGUAUACUAAUAUCUUUAUUCACAAUUACUCAUCACUUUUACUAUGAUUCUGGGUAUAAAAGUUUCAAAGUACGGAAGACAUUAAUCGGAUGAGCAAAGAAUUGAAAUUUCAUGUCUCGAUGGUUUACAAUUGCUUUACUGUGCUGAAUCGAUGCCAAAAAAACAAAGAUUUGCACUCUUAGAUUCAACCUUAAGGAUGUCUUUUCACUCUAAUUGUUUUGGCUACUAUUUGGUUGGAGCGCAAGGAUUCCCUAGCUGGUAA
rnacentral:lncRNA from 1 species